CCUACGGGAGGCUGCAGUGGGGAAUAUUGGACAAUGGGCGAAAGCCUGAUCCAGCCAUGCCGCGUGUGUGAAGAAGGCCUUCGGGUUGUAAAGCACUUUCAGUGGGGAAGAAAGCCUUGGGGCUAAUACCCUCGAGGAAGGACAUCACCCACAGAAGAAGCACCGGCUAACUCCGUGCCAGCAGCCGCGGUAAUACGGAGGGUGCGAGCGUUAAUCGGAAUUACGGGGCGUAAAGCGCGCGUAGGCGGUCUGAUAAGCCGGUUGUGAAAGCCCCGGGCUCAACCUGGGAACGGCAUCCGGAACUGUCAGGCUAGAGUGCAGGAGAGGAAGGUAGAAUUCCCGGUGUAGCGGUGAAAUGCAUAGAGAUCGGGAGGAAUACCAGUGGCGAAGGCGGCCUUCUGGACUGACACUGACGCUGAGGUGCGAAAGCGUGGGUAGCAAACAGGAUUAGAUACCCGAGUAGUC
rnacentral:rRNA from 1 species